UGCGAGGUAGAGCAGAGGUAGCUCGUCGGGCUCAUAACCCGAAGGUCAGAGGUUCGAAUCCCCUCCUCGCUA
rnacentral:tRNA from 8 species